rnacentral:lncRNA from 1 species
GGGAUCUUCCCCGUUCGCUCAGCACUUCUCCUUCCUGCCGCCUUGUAAAGAAUGUGCCUUGCCUCCUCUUCACCUUCCACCAUGAUCAUUAAGUUUCUUGAGGCCUCCCCAGCCAUGUCUCACGUUAAACUGUGAGUCAAUUAAACCUCUUUCCUUUAUAAAUUACCCAGUCUCUGACAGUUCUUUAUAGCAGGAUGAAAACGGACUAAUAUAAUUGCCUAACUGACCACCUGCUUCCUGUUGACCAACUCCUCUUCCUUAACCCUCGCUAAUUCCUCUUUUCCCACACAUAGUCACAUUUCUUCCCUGCUCUAUAAACCCCGAAUUUUAGCCAGUUGAGGAGACAGAUUGGAGACUGCUCUCUCGUCCUCAUCAGCUGCAGCACCCAGGGCAGAAACAGCGGCUCCCUUCCCACUGUCUCCCAGAGCCUUGCAUGGCGCCCAGUGCAGAGCGGUUCUGGAAUCAGAAUGGGCUGGAGGGAGCAAGUUACACAGAGGCCCCAUGAGAGAAGCCAUCAAUGACUUAAAUAAUGUGCAUUUGCAGAGACCUUCAUCCCCAAACCGUCCCCUCCUGCCUCCUCAAAUUGGGCCCUGCUCACACUUUCAGUCCCACCUGACCCACACAGCCUGGGCUCCACCCACACCAUGUUCUUGCACAUCUCUGAGCUUCUGUUCAUGACACUCUUCUCCUGCAGUGGAAAACUCCUACUCACCCUUAAAGAUCCAGCUUAAAAACCCUCUCCAUCAACCAUCAACCUUCCUCAAAAUCCCCGGAGGAACCUACCUCUCAGCUGCCUCACUCACUGUGCACACUGCAUUUGGGCCUUGCAUAUCUGCCUCUCCAACAAGUCGGGGAACCCUUGGGGGUCAGGCUGUGCCUUGUAUGUCUCUGUGAUCCCCACAGCUCUCAACACAGUGGUGCAAAAACCUUGGCAGAUGAAAUGAUUAAAGACACAACCCAGCCACAACAGUCCCCAAGAGUUGCUGGCAUUCACUCUUCUCACUUACGAGUAGUAGUAUUUUCACGUGACAAAGGGCAUGGACUGUGGCAAAUGUGUACAACCCACACAGGGUUCAGCCAUCAUCUUGCUGUAGUUGCCAACACUUUGUACACACAGUCACACACACACUCAGGAAUAUACACUCACAUGUACCCACAUGCACGCUCAUGAACAUAUGCUCACACAUAUACACACAAAUAUACACAUCCACACACACUUAUACACACACGCAUACUCAUGGCGGCUGCUUCCUAUGAGCGGUCAUUCCCACGUUAAUUCUAAUCACCUGUGACGCCAGUCCAGUCCUGAAGCUGAGCCACAGGGGGCCUUUCAGGGCUAAGGGUUGAUUCCUUCUUCAAGGAGUGAAGCAGGUGGGGUCUUCUGGGUGUGUCCAGAAAGGAAGACCUGUGGACCACAGCUGGGUUUGCCCAGAGAACAGACUCGGGGAUGAGUCCUCCACCCCCAUGAGGCAGGGCUGUGGCUGCACUCCACCACAACCACCAUGGUGACCCGAGUACUAAGGCUGCACCAGACUGACCGCCUGGGCCAGUCACCCUAUUAGAGGACCCCGGCAGCCUUCUGCAUGCCCGAAACUUGCCACAGUCAGGAAGGGACCCGCUCUGGCCAG